rnacentral:lncRNA from 1 species
AUAGGAUUUAUAAGUUUAAAAAUGGAAAUAAACAGAAGAAUCUGGGAAGCAUCUGAAUUUUUGAAGGAAAAAUAUACAAUGGUAUCUCACAAAUCUGUACAAAAGAAUAACAUAAUUGGUGCAGAAUGGAUAUUAUUUGAAGAAAUCAUACUUCAAUUACGUAGAAGGAACACAUUUACCGAAAGAUUACAUAGCUGCCCUACGUCAUGAGAACGUAGAAAUUAGUGUCAAGCAUAUCCCAAAUGUUAUCAUGUUCAUCUUAUUUUUUUAUAUGAAAGAUAAAUCUUGUUUAAGAUCCUAAAAAUAAAAAAAUAGGGCACCUACUAUCCUCUUGUACUUCAUACAGAAAAAGAUUAAAACUCGAUACAAAUGCCAAUGGCACGACAUGUUAAGCUAUGAAUUGUUCUCUUCUCAAACACAAAUGAUUAUUUUUGACGUUAAAGGAGAACAACGAGUAUAGUCACAAACAUGUUUGAACAUAAAGUAAAUUAACAUUAGAAAGAACAAGAAGAAAAGUGACGACAAAUGUAUGAAACACAUAAUUAAAAGAUUCAUAAAACCUUUAUACAGCUUGAGAAAUAGUGAAACACAUGAGAAAGUAGAAAUUUACUCUAUUCCUUACUUGGGGUUUCUUGCGAUUAGGUUUGUUGGGGGGGACAAUGAAUAUUUGUUGGAAGUUUCCCAAAGAACCCCUUUCUGGUCUCAUCAUCAGCUCUAUUGGAAGUACAUAUUAUGUUGGAUGAUACCAAUGACCUUUUGAAGCUUCACAAGAAAAGUUUACCAAUGAGGGGAUCUAGUAAAGUUACAAACAAAUUAGUUGGGUGAUAAAACAGAUCUUGCUGAAGAAAACAAAAUAUGUGUUGCUGGCACAAAUGAAGGUAUAAGGUUAAAAAAAUUCAUCCAUUUUUCUCACAGAAAAUGUAUUCAUCUAUAAAAUGAGGCUAUAGAUCCUCUUCUCCUUUGGUUUUAACCUCUCAAAUAUGAUUUAAAGAGAGAGACAGUAAAGGAUCAUAAAUACUCAGUGCUAUGCUAAUUGCAAUACCUGUCCAACGAUGAAAGCAUCAACCCAAGAAUAUGAAGCAUCAAACUGUUAAAAAUAUGAAGUUAUGUCAAAUUAUUAGUUGCACAGAUUUUUAGAGUAUUUAAGUGAAACGACAAUAAGUCAUUUAAAAAGUUUCUACAAUCAACGAAUUCAACCAAUACCUCUUCUAGUACCUGCUCCAAAAGUAGCGAAUACUCAUUGGAUUCACAAAGUGCUGCACCUACAAAUCAGCAAAUCACUGUAAUUAAACCUGCAAAAUUUGUAUGAAUUUUCACUGUAAUUAAGAAUCAUGUUCUCCUUUUAGUGAAUUUUGGAUUCAAGAAAAAUAAAAUUCUAAGACAAACUAAAAGAUUGAAGAAAAUGUUGUAUAUCUGUAUAUCUUAUGUAAUCUACCAAAAGUAGCCACAAAACAUAAAUCAAUUCUAAAGAGAGGAUCCAAGAAAUUUGCGGGGAGAUGAGGGGAACUUGCAAUCACAAGUACAAAAAACCACUAUCGAGAAAAAAGAAAAGGGAAACAGCGCAGAAAGAGCCUGCACUCAAGGGCGGAGCCCAUUAG